rnacentral:rRNA from 1 species
GAUGAACGCUGGCGGCGUGCCUAAUACAUGCAAGUCGAGCGAACAGAUGAGGAGCUUGCUCCUCUGACGUUAGCGGCGGACGGGUGAGUAACACGUGGAUAACCUACCUAUAAGACUGGUAUAACUUCGGGAAACCGGAGCUAAUACCGGAUAAUAUAUUGAACCGCAUGGUUCAAUAGUGAAAUACGGUUUUGCUGUCUCUUAUAGAUGGAUCCGCGCCGCAUUAGCUAGUUGGUAAGGUAACGGCUUACCAAGGCAACGAUGCGUAGCCGACCUGAGAGGGUGAUCGGCCACACGGGAACGGAGACACGGACCAGAGUCCUACGGGAGGCAGCAGUAGGGAAUCUUCCGCAAUGGGCGAAAGCAUGACGGAGCAACGCCGAGUGAGUGAUGAAGGUCUUCGGAUCGUAAAACUCUGUUAUUAGGGAAGAACAAAUGUGUAAGUAAAUAUGCACGUCUUGACGGUAACUAAUCAGAAAGCAACGGCUAACUACGUG